AUUGAACGCUGGCGGCGUGGCUAAAGCAUGCAAGUCGAGCGAACCCGCAAGGGUGAGCGGCGGACGGGUUAGUAAUACGAUCGAACGUGCCCUGAGGCGGGGGAUAGGCGUGGGAAACUGCGCGUAAUACCCCAUGAUCUCUCCGGAGCAAAGGUUUACCACCUUGGGAUCGGCGAUCGUCCUAUCAGCUAGUUGGCGGGGUAAAGGCCCACCAAGGCUAUGACGGGUAGCAGGUGNGAGAGCACGACCUGCAACAUCGGGACUGAGACACUGCCCGGACUCCUACGGGAGGCUGCAGCGACGAAUCUUCCGCAAUGGGCGCAAGCCUGACGGAGCGACGCCGCGUGUGGGAUGAAGCGCCUUCGGCGUGU
rnacentral:rRNA from 1 species